rnacentral:rRNA from 1 species
UGGUGGAGUGAUUUGUCUGGUUAAUUCCGUUAACGAACGAGACCUCAGCCUGCUAAAUAGUCACGCGAUGUCUUUGCCUCGUGCGAUGGCAUCGUGGCAGUACUUCUUAGAGGGACUAUCGGUGUUUAGCCGAUGGAAGUUUGAGGCAAUAACA